UACGGAGGGUGCAAGCGUUAUCCGGAUUCACUGGGUUUAAAGGGUGCGUAGGUGGAUUGGUAAGUCAGUGGUGAAAUCUCCGGGCUUAACCCGGAAACUGCCAUUGAUACUAUCAGUCUUGAAUACCGUGGAGGUCAGUAGAAUAUGUCAUGUAGCGGUGAAAUGCUUAGAUAUGACAUAGAAUACCAAUUGCGAAGGCAGCUGGCUAAGCGAAUAUUGACACUGAUGCACGAAAGCGUGGGGAUCAAACAGG
rnacentral:rRNA from 1 species